CCUACGGGAGGCAGCAGUGGGGAAUAUUGCACAAUGGGGGAAACCCUGAUGCAGCGACGCCGCGUGAGUGAAGAAGUAAUUCGGUAUGUAAAGCUCUAUCAGCAGGGAAGAAAAUGACGGUAACUGAGUAAGAAGCCCCGGCUAACUACGUGCCAGCAGCCGCGGUAAUACGUAGGGGGCAAGCGUUAUCCGGAGUUACUGGGUGUAAAGGGAGCGUAGACGGCAGUGCAAGUCUGGAGUGAAAGGCGGGGGCUCAACCCCCGGACUGCUCUUGAAACUGUACGGCUGGAGUGCAGGAGAGGUAAGUGGAAUUCCUAGUGUAGCGGUGAAAUGCGUAGAUAUUAGGAGGAACACCAGUGGCGAAGGCGGCUUACUGGACUGUAACUGACGUUGAGGCUCGAAAGCGUGGGGAGCAAACAGGAUUAGAUACCCUUGUAGUC
rnacentral:rRNA from 1 species